UACGAAGGGGGCUAGCGUUGUUCGGAAUUACUGGGCGUAAAGCGCGCGCAGGCGGUCAGAGGCGUCGGUGCUCAAAGUCCACCGCUUAACGGUGGGAGGCGUGCCGAUACGCUCUGACUGGAGGGCGGGCGAGGGUGGUGGAAUUGCCGGUGUAGUGGUGAAAUGCGUAGAGAUCGGCAGGAACACCAGUGGCGAAGGCGGCCACCUAGCCCGCACCUGACGCUGAGGCGCGACAGCGUGGGGAGCGAACUGG
rnacentral:rRNA from 1 species